GACGAACGCUGGCGGCGUGCUUAACACAUGCAAGUCGAGCGGUAAGGCUCCUUCGGGAGUACACGAGCGGCGAACGGGUGAGUAACACGUGAGCAACCUGCCCUUCUCAUCGGAAUAAGCGUUGGAAACGACGUCUAAUGCCGAAUAUGACAACGGAUCGCAUGAUCUGUUGUGGAAAGCUCCGGCGGAGAAGGAUGGGCUCGCGGCCUAUCAGCUUGUUGGUGGGGUAACGGCCCACCAAGGCGACGACGGGUAGCCGGCCUGAGAGGGUAACCGGCCACACUGGGACUGAGACACGGCCCAGACUCCUACGGGAGGCAGCAGUGGGGAAUAUUGGACAAUGGGCGCAAGCCUGAUCCAGCAACGCCGCGUGAGGGAUGACGGCCUUCGGGUUGUAAACCUCUUUCAGCAGGGACGAAGCGAAAGUGACGGUACCUGCAGAAGAAGGACCGACCAACUACGUGCCAGCAGCCGCCGUAAGAC
rnacentral:rRNA from 1 species